rnacentral:rRNA from 1 species
GCCGCGGUAAUUCCAGCUCCAAUAGCGUAUAUUAACGUUGUUGCAGUUAAAAAGCUCGUAGUUGAAGUGUGGGUGGUGCUGUCUGAGUAACUUCGGUUAGUCAGAUGAUCACUACCCCCUUCCAGUAUCCAGUAGUGGGUAUUCACUUACUUACUAUUGUGUGUUGGUCCUUUACUGUGAGAAAAUUAGAGUGUUCAAAGCAGGCGUUUGCUUGAAUAGAUUAGCAUGGAAUAAUAAUUGAAGGCUUUCGUGUUCGAUUUGAUUGGUUUGUUCAUGGAAGCAAGGUUAAAAGGAACAGUUGGGGGUAUUCAUAUUCACUAGUUAGAGGUGAAAUUCUCGGAUUUAUGGAAGAUGAACAAGUGCGAAAGCAUUUACCAAGGAUGUUUUCAUUAAUCAAGAACGAAAG